GGUCCCGUGGUGAAGUGGAGUUCACGCCGGCCUGUCAAGCCGGAGGUCGCGGGUUCGAACCCCGUCGGGACCG
rnacentral:tRNA from 4 species